CAGUUCGGAUUGUAGUCUGCAACUCGACUACAUGAAGCUGGAAUCGCUAGUAAUCGCGAAUCAGAAUGUCGCGGUGAAUACGUUCCCGGGUCUUGUACACACCGCCCGUCACACCAUGGGAGUCGGAAAUGCCCGAAGUCAGUGACCCAACCGUAAGGAGGGAGCUGCCGAAGGUGGAGCCGGUAACUGGGGUGAAGUCGUAACAAGGUAUC
rnacentral:rRNA from 1 species